CGGGGCAGUCUGGCAGUCAGAGGAAGCAUGAGUAAUUGUAAAUUAUUUCACAACCAUUGUUUUACCUGUGAACCCCAGGAAUAAUUUGUGAAAACAGAUGCCAUCUGGCAUAACUUUGCAUAAGGAACCGGGCAUGCAGAAAAAGGCUUGUUUACCUUCCAGCAGCUUCACAGCUUUCAAAAAGAUGGUGCUGCGAUACAUUUUUUUUUUUUUUAUCAACAUGUUCGUGGACAUUUGUAAUAGAUGUAUUCUUCUAUCAGGCAGAUGAUGAACACUAAAUCCCACAAGCAGUGCAGUUGGACUUGGAGCCCCGUGUCAUUCACUUCAUCCUGAACUCUCCCUGUGCCAGCCUCUACAACCCAGAGAAUAUCUACCUCUCCGAGCACGGAGGGUUUGCUGGCAACAACUGGGCCAGUGGAUUCUCCCAGAAGGAUGAAACAAUUUACGAAGAUAUAUUUGACAACAUCGAGG